rnacentral:rRNA from 1 species
AUACGGAGGAUGCGAGCGUUAUCCGGAUUUAUUGGGUUUAAAGGGAGCGUAGGCGGGAGCUUAAGUCAGCGGUUAAAUGGUGCGGCUCAACCGUGCCCUGCCGUUGAAACCGCGUUUCUUGAGAGCGCAAGAGGCGGUUGGAAUUCAUGGGGUAGCGGGGAAAUGCUUAGAUAUCAUGAAGAACUCCGAUUGCGAAGGCAGUCCGCUGGGGCACGUCUGACGCUGAUGCUCGAAGGUGCGGGAAUCAAACAGGAUUAGAUACCCUGGUAGUCCGCACAGUAAACGAUGGACACCCGCGGUUUGGCCUGUAUGGCUGAGCCGCCAAGCGAAAGCGUUAAGUGUCCCACCUGGGGAGUACGCCGGCAACGGUGAAACUCAAAUGAAUUGACGG